rnacentral:lncRNA from 1 species
UGAAAAAGGAAAGCAUCAUGUGGGAAGUCAAAGGUUAGUAAAUUCAUCUACUUUGUUCAAUGCUGAUAAUGCACUGCUUGAAUGUUUUGUCCAGUUUUUGAUAUUACAGUUCUAGAAAGGUGUGGACCAAUGCUGGAAAGUUCAAGGAAAAGCAACAGGGAUAAUCAGGGGUCUCGAAUACAGGACCUAUGGGGAGAAAGGUUUUGUGUUGUUACACAACAGAGGAAGUUACAGAGGAAAUCAAGGUGAUAACACAGCUAUCAAAGACAAGUGUGCUGCAAAGAGGGAUCUGCUCUUCAUGUCCAACUAGAAAGGAUAAUACCCAAUUUGCUGCAAGAACUGUUUGGAGUAUAAUUUAGGGAAAAAAUCUGGAGCUAAAAAGUACUUUUUCAAGAGAUUAUCAGAGAGUGCUUUGCUUAAGAGUCCUCACUAUUGGAGGUGUUUAAAAGAAGGCUGGGAAAACACAUGCUACUAGUACAUAUAUGGUUGAUCUUUGGGACAGAAAGGUGGACUAGAUAAUCUCUUGGUGUUCCCUUUUGGAUCUGUUUUUCAGAAAACACCUUGAAUCAUAGAUGGGUGAUGAAAUUCAGUUCCAUUUGUGUAUUUGCUCUGAAAACAGUUAUUUAGGGUGUCAAAACUGAAGUUCUUCGGUCGUGGUCUGACAUUAUUCAGUUAGUCUGACAGUUGCUGAAAUCUCCCUUUGUUGUGUUUUCUGCCAAUGCAAACUCAAUAAUCUAAUUAAUAUUUUGAGGUCAGUUUUCCCAUCUCUGCUCCAGACAAUAGGUGCUAAUGCUGGAAAAGAAAAGGACACCACCAAAAGACCCCAAAGACAGAGCAGCUUAUGGAGAGACUGGAAUGGUGCUAACCUGGAGGGAGUCAGCUGAUGGGAGGUCAGGCUGUGCAGGGAGCCUCUGGAAAGGCACAGAGGUUCAGCUCACCUAUGACUUCAGCAACCCAGACAUUACUCAGUGCUCUGACCGCCUACGUUUUCCUCCUUCAUACAGUUUAUCCAAGAUCCAGGAAGUAAUGAGAAAAAAAGUUAGUAAAACUGGUUUAAUAAACAGUAAGUGUGCCCAUACACUGAUAAUGUCAUUAUUGCCAUUUUGUCCUUGGCAUUGCAUGGGUACACAGCAAGUAUGUAUGAUGGACUGGUACAGCAAUGGACUGAUGAUGGACUUGAUACAGCAAGUAUGAUGGACUAGUGUCCAUCCCUUUCUCUCCAAGCAUAUAAAUGAUAAAUGUGCUUUCCAU